rnacentral:sRNA from 2 species
ACCACACGACAAGGCCAUCACCGGGUUCCCUUUUUUACAAAUAAUGUCGUUGUGGCCGUAUGUCCAGUCCCUCUCCCUCCCUUUGUGCUCCAAUUUCCGCAAAUUUCAAUUGAAAUUCCAUACAGAAAGAAAAAUAAAUAAACCGCCAGAAUUGCUUAAUUCGUAUGCAGCAUGCUAUGUGCAUUAUAUACAAUCUAAAGCGACGGAGAUGAGGCAUUAAAAAAAAAAGGUCACAACAAACAAUCACUAACUAACUAAAACGCCCCCCGCGCUUUCUAGGUCCUACCGCAACCUUUCUCCGCGCACUCGCUUCCUCUUCGGAGCUGGCCUGAUGGCCUACGCUGCAGUUGGGAUGUGGUGGUCUCCUAAAGUUGAGGAGGCUUUGGGAAUGGUGCCGAGCAAGGAGGAGCAGGCGGACUUGGACAGGAAAUUGAGUGUUAAGAUUUCGACUGUCGAGCGGUGAAUGAUGAGUGGAUGGGGGAAUAAUGAGGG